rnacentral:rRNA from 1 species
GGGAAUUCGAUUAGAGUUUGAUCAUGGCUCAGAACGUACGCUGGCGGCACGCCUAACACAUGCAAGUCGAACGAAGUAGCAAUACUUAGUGGCAGACGGGUGAGGAACAUGUGGGUAUCUGCCCUUUGGCCUGGAAUAACACGAGGAAACUUGUGCUAAUACCGGAUAAGUCUUUACGGAGAAAGCUUUAUGCACCAUUGGAUGAGCCCGCACUUGAUUAGUUUGUUGGUGGGGUAAUGGCCUACCAAGACUUUGAUCAAUAGCUGAUUUGAGAGGAUGAUCAGCCACAUUGGGACUGAGACACGGCCCAAACUCCUACGGGAGGCAGCAGUGGGGAAUCUUGCACAAUGGAGGAAACUCUGAUGCAGCGAUGCCGCGUGAGUGAAGAAGGCCUUUGGGUUGUAAAGCUCUUUCGUCGGGGAAGAAAAUGACUGUACCCGAAUAAGAAGGUCCGGCUAACUUCGUGCCAGCAGCCGCGGUAAUACGAAGGGACCUAGCGUAGUUCGGAAUUACUGGGCUUAAAGAGUUCGUAGGUGGUUGAAAAAGUUGGUGGUGAAAUCCCAGAGCUUAACUCUGGAACUGCCAUCAAAACUUUUCAGCUAGAGUUUGAUAGAGGAAAGCAGAAUUUCUAAUGUAGAGGUGAAAUUCGUAGAUAUUAGAAAGAAUACCAAUUGCGAAGGCAGCUUUCUGGAUCAUUACUGACGCUGAGGAACGAAAGCAUGGGUAGCGAAGAGGAUUAGAUACCCUCGUAGUCCAUGCCGUAAACGAUGUGUGUUAGACGUUGGAAAUUUAUUUUCAGUGUCGCAGCGAAAGCGAUAAACACACCGCCUGGGGAGUACGACCGCAAGGUUAAAACUCAAAUGAAUUGACGGGGACCCGCACAAGUAGUGGAGCAUGUGGUUUAAUUCGAAGAUACGCGCAGAACCUUACCAACACUUGACAUGUUCGUCGCGACUUUAAGAGAUUAAAGUUUUCGGUUCGGCCGGACGAAACACAGGUGCUGCAUGGCUGUCGUCAGCUCGUGUCGUGAGAUGUUGGGUUAAGUCCCGCAACGAGCGCAACCCUCACUUUUAGUUGCCAUCAUUUAGUUGGGCACUCUGAAAGAACUGCCAGUGAUAAGCUGGAGGAAGGUGGGGAUGACGUCAAGUCCUCAUGGCCCUUACGUGUUGGGCUACACACGUGCUACAAUGGUAUUUACAACAGGAAGCGAAACAGCGAUGUUAAGCAAAUCCUUAAAAAAUACCUCAGUUCGGAUUGCACUCUGCAACUCGAGUGCAUGAAGCUGGAAUUACUAGUAAUCGUGGAUCAGCGUGCCACGGUGAAUGCGUUCCC